rnacentral:rRNA from 1 species
AUUGAACGCUGGCGGCAGGCCUAACACAUGCAAGUCGGACGGUAGCACAGAGGAGCUUGCUCCUCGGGUGACGAGUGGCGGACGGGUGAGUAAUGUCUGGGGAUCUGCCCGAUAGAGGGGGAUAACCACUGGAAACGGUGGCUAAUACCGCAUAACGUCGCAAGACCAAAGAGGGGGACCUUCGGGCCUCCCACUAUCGGAUGAACCCAGAUGGGAUUAGCUAGUAGGCGGGGUAACGGCCCACCUAGGCGACGAUCCCUAGCUGGUCUGAGAGGAUGACCAGCCACACUGGAACUGAGACACGGUCCAGACUCCUACGGGAGGCAGCAGUGGGGAAUAUUGCACAAUGGGCGCAAGCCUGAUGCAGCCAUGCCGCGUGUAUGAAGAAGGCCUUCGGGUUGUAAAGUACUUUCAGCGGGGAGGAAGGCGAUGUGGUUAAUAACCGCGUCGAUUGACGUUACCCGCAGAAGAAGCACCGGCUAACUCCGUGCCAGCCGCCGCAGUAACAC